CAGAACAUUAAACCAACCCAAAAAAUGGCAGAAUAAAGAAUACUACACAGAAACUAAUACAAAUACAAAAUGACACAAAAUGGAAUAAGCAAUGACUGAAAUAAAAUUUGCACAUUCAUUUCCAUACAAAUAUAAAAUGAGGGAUCCUUGCACCCCUUAAAUGCAAAGAACAUUGAGAUAGAAUUUCAGUAAGAUGAAACAUAUUCGUACUAUCAAAGAUUAGUUCGAAUUAUGUCAUUACAGAAACUAAACCAAACAACUGAAUGGAAAUUUUGUGCAAUUCACUGGUGCUAUUGUCAGCAAUUUAGGUAGUCAAUUUAGGUAGUCAAAUAAAAAAGUGGGACAACUUACACUAGCUAAAAAUUAAUAAAAGAUAUCAGCAAAAUGGUGAUCUACACUCCACAGAUCAACUGCUUGUGGAAUAUUUGACUUUGCUAAUGAAGAUCGAGUCAAAACUCGUUGUUGUCAAUCCUAAUGUCAUCCAGCUUUUAGUAAGGGUGUUUGCCAAUGACUUGAUUUUCAGAGACACUUCAAGGUAAAACUAGAAAGUUGGACAAGAACGUUCCUCAUGACAACGUUAAUGUUCUUUGAUGCCUUAAAACCUUCUAUAUGCUGUUCCAGUUCAUAGCAGUAGAUACAAUACAUAAAUGUAAUAGGAAAUAAAUAAGAAGUAAGCUGAUACAUUAUAAAAUAAAUAAUAGGUGAACUGAUGCAUUUGCUACUGGGGUAGCCAUUAAUUGUUUUCAUUUGUUUUUCUUAGUUCUGCGGUCUUUGUACUCUGUGAGCUAUAAAUGUUUACUGAUAAGUAUUUGUCUAUCAUUACAUAGACUAAGGAAUUAAGGGUUGUGGUAUGCUUGCUAAAAUUG